GGCCUGUCUGUGGAUUCAGUAGGGCUACGCCCAUAUGUUCAUGGCUCUGUUUAUCAGUGUACAAAUGCAGGAAGAAAGACUUCUGCGCACCAGCUUCAAAACGAAUAACCAAAUGAUGUAGACCGCUUGCUUUGCAAAAGCUGGUAAGCUUGUGUGGGAGGACUGCGCUGCACAAUGAUGGAGUUAUUGCAUAGCGCAGGGGAGGAGUAUUAACUCACAGGACCCUACAGGUACAGGUUUUGACCUGAAUGCACUGGUCUUCUCCAAACAUAACGCUCAACGAUAACGUUGUCUACGUCAGAAUUUUGACCCUUAGCAUGCUCUUUAAACUUGUACCGGAGAGAGCACUUGCAUAACAGUGGCAUCACUGAAGCACUAAAAUCGACAAGUUCAGGCAGGCUUCCUUUAAUCUUCCAGGGCAAAGUUUGUUCUUUUGACAUCAUUAAAUUACAUCAGAAGUGGGUUGGGCUGGGUGCUGUUGGAGUACAGGAGACGAAGAGAAUGUGGCUGAAGGUGCUGCUGCUAAGCUUUAUUAGUUGUUUUGCAUGUCAAGCUGACAUUUGCGUUGUUGGAGUCUUUGGGGAAUCUGUCUUCCUGCCCUGCCUCUAUAAUGGACUAGAGAAUUUGACAACUUUAAACAUUUCAUUCGAGUGGAGAAGAGGUGCUGAGGUGGUGUACAAGGCUCUGUGGACAGAAGGGUACGAGAAGAGAAUUGAUAAGGAUGUCAAGGACAGAAUCUUGGUGUCUGCUUUGGCACAAACUGGAAAUUUCACAAUGAAGCUGAGUGACAUCAGAUUCUCAGAUGCUCAGAAUUACACUCUGCAUCUAAACGUUCUUGAUCAUGGAGAUAAUGUCUCGAUAUGCACGGUCUGCCUCAAUGUUGCAGAUGGUGAGAACUUCAGGCAUGAACGUAAAUCUGCAUUCAUAUGGAUACUCAGCCUUGUUCUGUGUGUGCUGGUGACUGCGCUGGUGACAAUAGCUUUGUGUUUCCAGAAGAAAUGGGACAGGCAGGCUAGAAGAGAACAUGAAGACGAUUCAGACAGGGAAGAUACAGAAAUGAUCAUGAUGGACGGGAAGUAUUUUGAUGAACUGCCUAACAGAGAUAGAUGUGUCAUAUAG
ensembl:lncRNA